AGAACGAACGCUGGCGGCAUGCCUAACACAUGCAAGUCGAGCGAGGCCCCUCCUUCGGGAGGGUGUCCUAGCGGCGAACGGGUGAGUAACACGUGGGCAACCUGCCCUCAGCUCUGGGAUAACCCCGGGAAACCGGGGCUAAUACCGGAUACGACCUCCACGGGCAUCUGCGGGGGUGGAAAGGUUUUUCCGGCUGAGGAUGGGCCCGCUGCCUAUCAGCUAGUUGGUGGGGUGAUGGCCCACCAAGGCGACGACGGGUA
rnacentral:rRNA from 1 species